GACGUAGGUGGCGAACGUUAUCCGGAAUUAUUGGGCGUAAAGGGUGCGUAGAUGGUCUAGAAAGUUAGUAGUGGGAAAUCGAGGCCCAACCUCGUGGAAACUAUUGAUACUGUUAGACUAGAGAACAGGAGGGGUUAACGGAAUGGUAUGUGGAGCGGUGAAAUGUGUUGAUAUUGGAAGGAACACCGGAGGCGAAAGCGGUGUACUGGGGCUGGUCUGACGCUGAGGCACGAAAGCCAGGGGAGCGAACGGG
rnacentral:rRNA from 1 species